rnacentral:ncRNA from 1 species
UUUUUCAGGGUGCUCUCAAGGGGUUUGAUAUACAGACUGUUGUUCUUCAGACGGACGUCGCCUUUGGCGGUAGUCAUUUCGCCGUCCAGCGGAAUAUCAAGAUGUAAGCGAGCAUUCACAUCGCCAUCAAGCUGGAGUUGCUGCAGCGUCGCCGCCAGCGACGCUUUUAGCGGCGUCUCCUCAAAAUAGGGCCCCACGGCUUUACCCGGACCGUUGAUGUCGGCAUCAAUCAGCAGUUUCUCUUUUGAAUAGUCGGGGAUGUUUGCCGUCAGGUUGCUGGCCGUCACGCCGCCCAGCGCCACGUUGUCUGACUUCAUCCACAAUCCGUCAUUGAGGAAAUUAAGCUCAAUGUCCAGGUUUUUCAGCGCCGGCCAGCCCGGCUGGAACGCGAAGGUGGCGUUGUGUAACGGCAC